AAUGAACGCUGGCGGCAUGCCUUACACAUGCAAGUCGAACGGCAGCAUGACCUAGCUUGCUAGGUUGAUGGCGAGUGGCGAACGGGUGAGUAAUGCAUCGGAACGUGCCUUUUAGUGGGGGAUAACGUAGCGAAAGUUACGCUAAUACCGCAUAUUCUCUGAGGAGGAAAGCGGGGGACCUUCGGGCCUUGCGCUAGAAGAGCGGCCGAUGUCGGAUUAGCUAGUUGGUGAGGUAAAGGCUCACCAAGGCAACGAUCCGUAGCGGGUCUGAGAGGAUGAUGCGCCACACUGGGACUGAGACACGGCCCAGACUCCUACGGGAGGCAGCAGUGGGGAAUUUUGGACAAAGGGCGCAAGCCUGAUCCAGCCAUGCCGCGUGAGUGAAGAAGGCCUUCGGGUUGUAAAGCUCUUUCGGCUGGGAAGAAAUCGCACCCUCUAAUACAGGGUGUGGAUGACGGUACCAGCAUAAGAAGCACCGGCUAACUACGUG
rnacentral:rRNA from 1 species